rnacentral:rRNA from 1 species
AGAGAAAUAAUAGGAUUAAAAAAUUUUUUGAAAAAUUUAAAGUUUAUUAUUAUAAUAAGCUUUGUUUUUUGAAGAAUAAAGUUUAGUGUUAUUUAUUUUUUAAAACUUUUAAAGUUUAUAAAAUUAAACUUAUAACAAUAAACUUCUAACAAUCCUUUAUUGACUCUCGCUGCAAAAUUAAUUUGGCUUCUGGCAAUUGUCAGGAAUUUAGCCGAUUAUAACUUUUGUGAAUUUAUAAUUAUAAUUAAUUAUUACAUUCUUUUGCAAAGGAUAUUUAGUAUGUUAUCAGCUGUCAUUAAUUUUUAAUUUUCGACUUUUAUUUCGGGAUUUUGAAUUCUAAAAUUAUCAAUGUAAUCAUUAUUAAUGACAGCUUAAUUAC